rnacentral:piRNA from 1 species
GUUUUGGUGACUCCUCUUAUGU